rnacentral:rRNA from 1 species
CAGCAGCCACGGUAAUACGUAGGGUGCAAGCGUUAAUCGGAAUUACUGGGCGUAAAGCGUGCGCAGGCGGUUAUAUAAGUCAGAUGUGAAAUCCCCGGGCUCAACCUGGGAACUGCAUUCGUGACUGGCAAGCUAGAGUAUGGCAGAGGGGGGUGGAAUUCCACGUGUAGCAGUGAAAUGCGUAGAGAUGUGGAGGAACACCGAUGGCGAAGGCAGCCCCCUGGGCCAAUACUGACGCUCAUGCACGAAAGCGUGGGGAGCAAACAGGAUUAGAUACCCGAGUAGUCCCUGUCUCUUAUAC